CUACAGAGGGUGCGAGCGUUAAUCGGAAUUACUGGGCGUAAAGCGCGCGUAGGCGGCUUAUUAAGUCAGAUGUGAAAUCCCAGGGCUCAACCUUGGAACUGCAUCUGAUACUGAUAGACUAGAGUUUUGGAGAGGGAAGUAGAAUUUCAGGUGUAGCGGUGAAAUGCAUAGAGAUCUGAAGGAAUACCAGUGGCGAAGGCGACUUCCUGGCCAAAAACUGACGCUGAGGUGCGAAAGCGUGGGUAGCAAACGGGAUUAGAGACCCUAGUAGUCC
rnacentral:rRNA from 1 species